GAUCAUGGCUCAGGAUGAACGCUGGCGGCGUGCCUAACACAUGCAAGUCGAACGGAGCUGCUUUGAUGAAGUUUUUCGGAUGGAUUUUAAAACAGCUUAGUGGCGGACGGGUGAGUAACGCGUGGGUAACCUGCCUUAUACAGGGGGAUAACAGUUGGAAACGACUGCUAAUACCGCAUAAGCGCACGGUACCGCAUGGUACAGUGUAGAAAAACUCCGGUGGUGUGAGAUGGACCCGCGUCUGAUUAGCUAGUUGGCAGGGCAACGGCCUACCAAGGCGACGAUCAGUAGCCGACCUGAGAGGGUGACCGGCCACAUUGGGACUGAGACACGGCCCAAACUCCUACGGGAGGCAGCAGGUGGGGAAUAUUGCACAAUGGGGGAAACCCUGAUGCAGCGACGCCGCGUGAGCGAAGAAGUAUUUCGGUAUGUAAAGCUCUAUCAGCAGGGAAGAAGAAAUGACGGUACCUGACUAAGAAGCACCGGCUAAAUACGUG
rnacentral:rRNA from 1 species